rnacentral:rRNA from 1 species
UGCAGUCGCACGAUGAAGCCCUUCGGGGUGGAUUAGUGGCGAACGGGUGAGUAACACGUGGGCAAUCUGCCCUUCACUCUGGGACAAGCCCUGGAAACGGGGUCUAAUACCGGAUAACACCUUCGGCCUCCUGGCCGAAGGUUAAAAGCUCCGGCGGUGAAGGAUGAGCCCGCGGCCUAUCAGCUAGUUGGUGGGGUAAUGGCCUACCAAGGCGACGACGGGUAGCCGGCCUGAGAGGGCGACCGGCCACACUGGGACUGAGACACGGCCCAGACUCCUACGGGAGGCAGCAGUGGGGAAUAUUGCACAAUGGGCGAAAGCCUGAUGCAGCGACGCCGCGUGAGGGAUGACGGCCUUCGGGUUGUAAACCUCUUUCAGCAGGGAAGAAGCGAAAGUGACGGUACCUGCAGAAGAAGCGCCGGCUAACUACGUGCCAGCAGCCGCGGUAAUACGUAGGGCGCAAGCGUUGUCCGGAAUUAUUGGGCGUAAAGAGCUCGUAGGCGGCCAGUCGCGUCGGGUGUGAAAGACCGGGGCUUAACCCCGGUUCUGCAUUCGAUACGGGCUGGCUAGAGUGUGGUAGGGGAGAUCGGAAUUCCUGGUGUAGCGGUGAAAUGCGCAGAUAUCAGGAGGAACACCGGUGGCGAAGGCGGAUCUCUGGGCCAUUACUGACGCUGAGGAGCGAAAGCGUGGGGAGCGAACAGGAUUAGAUACCCUGGUAGUCCACGCCGUAAACGG